GCGCCAGUAGCUCAGCUGGACAGAGCAACGGCCUUCUAAGCCGUGGGCCGGGGGUUCGAAUCCCUCCUGGCGCGCCA
rnacentral:tRNA from 1 species